GCCGGUGGUGAUUUCUCCACCUGCGCCCUCCCUAAACUUGCUGCACGACCGCAAAGCCCCUUCUAGCCAGGUCAAUGGAGUGGUGUUACAAUCUUCCAAAAAGCCUGCUGGUAACCGCUUUGUGGCGUUAAACCCAGACGUCCCCUCGCAGGGACUGAAGUUUUGACCUCAGAUCAGACAAGGAUACCCGCUGAACUUAA
rnacentral:misc_RNA from 1 species